rnacentral:rRNA from 1 species
GACGAACGCUGGCGGCAGGCCUAACACAUGCAAGUCGAGCGAGUGGCGGACGGGUGAGUAAUGUCUGGGAAACUGCCCGAUGGAGGGGGAUAACUACUGGAAACGGUAGCUAAUACCGCAUACCAUCGGAUGUGCCCAGAUGGGAUUAGCUAGUAGGUGGGGUAACGGCUCACCUAGGCGACGAUCCCUAGCUGGUCUGAGAGGAUGACCAGCCACACUGGAACUGAGACACGGUCCAGACUCCUACGGGAGGCAGCAGUGGGGAAUAUUGCACAAUGGGCGCAAGCCUGAUGCAGCCAUGCCGCGUGUAUGAAGAAGGCCUUAGGGUUGUAAAGUACUUUCAGCGGGGAGGCGUUACUCGCAGAAGAAGCACCGGCUAACUCCGUGCCAGCAGCCGCGGUAAUUC